GACGAACGCUGGCGGCGUGCUUAACACAUGCAAGUCGAACGGAAAGGCCCUGCUUUUGUGGGGUGCUCGAGUGGCGAACGGGUGAGUAACACGUGAGUAACCUGCCCUUGACUUUGGGAUAACUUCAGGAAACUGGGGCUAAUACCGGAUAGGAGCUCCUGCUGCAUGGUGGGGGUUGGAAAGUUUCGGCGGUUGGGGAUGGACUCGCGGCUUAUCAGCUUGUUGGUGGGGUAGUGGCUUACCAAGGCUUUGACGGGUAGCCGGCCUGAGAGGGUGACCGGCCACAUUGGGACUGAGAUAAGGCCCAGACUCCUACGGGAGGCAGCAGUGGGGAAUAGUGCACAAUGGGCGGAAGCCUGAUGCAGCAACGCCGCGUGCGGGAUGACGGCCUUCGGGUUGUAAACCGCUUUCGCCUGUGACGAAGCGUGAGUGACGGUAAUGGGUAAAGAAGCACCGGCUAACUACGUG
rnacentral:rRNA from 1 species